rnacentral:rRNA from 1 species
AUAGCCUAACGGCUGAACCAGCAACUUGGAGGAAUGUAUAGCAAUAGCUGAUUGCACCAACUGCAAUAUCGACUAUGUUGAAUAAAAUUCUGGGUAGAAUUAUGAUUAUGACAUUGUCUGCCCAUGUGUCUUGACCAAAUUACGUGCCAGCAGUCGCGGUAAUACGUAGAAGACUAGUGUUAUUCAUCUUUAAUAGGUUUAAAGGGUACCUAGACGGUAAAUCAAGCCUAUAGGGACUAAUUUACUAGAGUUACUUACGAGGGGGUAUUAAAGUACUGCUGGUGUAGAGAUGAAAUUCUGUCAUACCUCUUUUCGUAUGAAAAUUAUGGCACAGGUAUUGGCGAAAGCAUCUCCUUAUGUGAUAGCUUUGUGUCGCGAACAGGAUUAGAUACCCCAGUAGUCAAAGCAGAAAAUGAUGAAUGUCAUAGAUUAUUUUAUUCUAUAAAUGAAAGUGUAAGCAUUCCACCUCAAGAGUAAUUUGGCAACAUUGGAACUGAAAUCAUUAGACCGUUUCUGAAACCAGUAGUGAAGUAUGUUGUUUAAUUUGAUAAUCCGCAAAAAACCUUACCAUGAAUAUUUACAAGCGUUGCACGGCUGUUUUUAGUUAAUGUCGUGAGACUAUGGUUGGUGCCAUUAAAUUAACGUAAACCCUUACUUUAUUUUUUAUAUAAAGUUGUUCCCCGCUAUAUAGGAUAUGAUAACAGGGAUUAAUACAAGUCAUCAUGGCCUAAAUAUUAUAAACCUUACAAAAGGAUGUGAAAUUGUGAAAUUGAGCUAAUCCCCCAAAAUCGGAUAUACACUAACA